CUUCUCAGUCUGGCGUGGGUGAAAGAGACAAAACAGAUCAUUCCAGGGCAAGGCUGUCAUUGCUGGGAGAGUGUUGCGUACAGGACCACAGGACAUGAAUCGCUCUGGUUGUACAUGUGAGAACAGAUAACAUCAAGUGAAAAACAGAGGCACAGCUUAUUAGGGAGCUGGUAACCUACAGUGUACAAAGCACCGGCUUGGGUGACCAUGACCUACACACUGGCGGAGGCACCAUAAUUUAAGUACUAGAACCAAUGUACAGCUCCUAAAAUAUACUAGUCAUGCAAUGGCUGUCACUAUUGUCACUAUCUGAUGAAAAUGUGAAAUGUGAAGCCUCUCCUAGACCUCUGGCACAGCAUCCCUUCCUCACCAGCCCUGAAUCAUCUACCCUCAUGAACAGAGAGAGCAGCACUCCGACAAGCGCGUAGCAUUUUCACCGAAGACACUCUGACCUUCCCUGAAGUCUGCUGAUAGGCUAAAGGCAUAGAACACAUAGGCAGAUCAUAGCGCAGAGCAUUCAAAGAAGAAACAGGAAGCUCUGGGACUUCACAAAGUAAGUUACUUACUUUAGAACCAGAUAUAUUGAAGACAUUCACCCCAGAGAAGAGCAGCAGGACAAAGUCUGGUACAGAGAUUUGGGAAACUCAAAUUACCUACCCUCAGAACAGAAACACCCUAAGCCAGCUGGGACACCGAAGUAAAACAAUCAUCCAAAAGCACUCAGAGGACAUCAUGUGUGAAAGCAUUUUCCAACCUUAAAAUACUGUCAUUUUUAAAAAAAAUAUUUUAUUUAUUCAUUCAUGAGAGAGGCAGAGGGAGAAGCAGGCUCCAUGCAGGAAGCCUGAUGUGGAACUUGAUCCCAAACUCCAGGAUCAUGCCCUGAGCCGAAGGCAGAUGCUUAACUGCUAAGCCACCCAGGUGCCCCUAAAAUACUGUAAUUUUUAACGUCAUUCUUUCCCCAAACAGUCCAGGGCUGUACUAUAAAUGCCUUGAGAUCCAGAGUUAUAUGUGUGUUAUUUACCAUGAAAUAGCCAGAAUUAUUAGCUACCCAGGAAGUAUUUUUUAAUUGAAUAAAACAAAAAAUGAAACAUCUUCCAUGGACACUGGUGGCUGAAUUUAAAGCUUCUUCCUGGCACUCUAAAAGACCUGAACAGAAAAAAAAAAAAAAAAUCAUAAAGCAUUUAGAGCACCAUCAGCCUCACACAAGGGAAGAAUAUGGGAAUGGGUUAUCUGGAGGAAUUGCCCUUCAUUGCCAAGGAUGAUGAAUGGCAAGGCUUUGGGAAGAUCAGAUAACCUGAACCAAUAUGUGAAGGUUCAUUAACGAGCCCAUGGUCCCACUGGCACAGCGUCACAUGUCACGGGGGAUGUCACAGGUCAUGAAACAUAGGCACUUGCAAUUUCCCACUGGGGUGGUAUUUAUCUUGAAUUAUUUACCACCAGAUUUCCUGACAGUGGGAAUAGGCCAAUAAAGUGGUUUUUCUAAGAGGGUGGGGGUCCUCAAGUUGUAAUUAAUCCAUCUCUAAAAGAUUGAAUGGAUCUUACAGAGCCACAGUCCAUAAAUUACCACAAUUAGCCUCUUUAUGGCAUCAUGCAAGUUUCAUGGCAUGAGAAACCACAUUUCCAGAAAGAACAGUGAGUGGAAAACACUUUGGAAUAGAUUGCCUCUGAUUCCUGUAAGGUGGCAUUUCUUUCAGGCUACAUUAGCUCCAAUCAUUAGGGUGAAUACUAUCCAUUGGAGAAAUGGAUGACGGAAUUUUAAAGAAGGCAAAAGUGAGAUGGCUCUUCAUCAAAAAGUACGUCCUAGCCCCAGAAACCAUACAUAGGGAAACCGGCUAUGUGAGAAAUAAUUACAAUUUGAAUGGGUAGACUCAAUAACUCAUGACCUCUCAAAGAUUGUCUCGUCACCUUUGGGAUGGAGUCCAAACUCCUCAGCUUGAUGGGGACUGUAGGCCUCUCAUAAGCUGGCUCCCGGCUCCUUCUCCAGCUUUCUGUCUCAGGCUCCCCACUUAAAUACUGCACCCUGGGUUAUACAGAACUAUCUGCAAUUCUCAAUACACACCAUGUUUAAUGGUAGCGAGCGCUUUCUCUUCCAGUUCCCUGUGCCCGGAAUUCUUUCUUUCCCUUCCUGCUGGGCACAACUGAACCUAUAAUGAUUCUGUUAGAAUGCUGGCCCCCUGCCCCCCCAUAGAACUUUUCCAGAUGAUCUCAGGCAUGGCAGCUCGAUCCCUGGCUCUUGCUACCAAUUGUCUCAGUGCACCUGUCUUCUAAUGCCAGGUCCCCUGCACUGCCACUGUGAGUGUCCUUAUCUGUCUCCACAAUCCAGCCAUGAACUCUUUUAUGACAAGGACACUGUCUCAUUCCUCCCCACCCACCCACCCCCUUUUUUUUGAAGCCUGCCAGAGGGACAGGAACAGGAUGGGCACUCUCACAAUAUGGUUUUGAUAAAGACUGGGGAUGCCACAGAUCCCAGAAACUCUCAAAUAAUGCAUAUCAAUAAAACAGAUACAAAUUCCAGAUUGGAUAUGAACCCAUAGGGCUAUUUUGCCAUAUGACAGAAUGAUAAAAGCUGCCGUAGAAAUAUUGAUCUCAAGGUUUGAGCUGGUCACUAUAGCUGAGAAAUGUACAAGGUAUUACAUACUGAAGUAGUUACAUGUCUGUGGGUGACGUGGUCCUCCUGUCUGGAACCUUCCCCACCCCUAAGUGUCACGUUUCAUCUGUAAGGCUAUGGCCAGGUCACCCACCAGCAAUUCUGUGAGGUUUUUGAUGUUAGCUUCAAGAGGACCUCAUCUCAGCUUUCUUUGAGUUUGUACAGCACUUUAUUGUUUUUGUCUUAUAGCAUUUUUAACUAUUUCCUGUAUAUUGUAAUUAUUUAUGUAAUUUUUUAUUAAUUCACAUAAAUUACUAAGACUGAUGUUUUGUACUAAAUUUGAACUUACUAAGGGAGGCAUUCUAUAUACUCUGGAUAUGGAUAUCUAGUCUACCUGCUUCUGGAUAUCUAUUACUACAUAACAAAUAACCCUCAAAAUUGCUUAAAACAACAAUUAUUUAUUCCUCAUAGUUUCAGGGGGCCAGGGAACUGGGAACUGCUCAACUGAGCAGCUCUGACUUGGAGUUUCCCAUACAGACACAGGCAAAUAGUGGCCAGAGCUCGGACAAGAGGAAGCUAAGGCAUCUGAGGGCUGACUGGGAUCUCUUCUCUUCAUGUACCCUUAGUAUCUCGCCAUAUGUUUUAUGCACGUGAGCCUGUUUGGGCUUCCUCACAAGAUGGCAGCCUCAGACUUCUUAAAUGUCAGGUCAAUGUUUCCAAAGCAAGUGUUCUAAGAGGGCCAGAAGCUGCAUUGCUUUUGUGACCUAGUCUUAGAAAUCACAAUAUUAACUAAUAUUCUAUUAGUUAAUUUAGUCAGAAAAGUGUAAGUUUAAGAGGGAAGAUAUACACUCCACCUCUUGACAGGGGAGAAGGAAAGUUCUGGAAGUGUACACGGGACAGGAAAUAUGAUAGUGGUCAUUUUUAGAACAUGCAACCUGUUUCAUGCAAGCAUAGUUUUUAAGAAUAUUUUGUUUAUUUGUUAGAGAGAGUGAGAGAACAAGAAAGACAGAGAGAGAGAGAGCAAGAGAGAGAGCACAAGCAGGAGGAAGGCAGAGGGAGAAGGAGAAGCAGAUGCCC